UACGAAGGGGGCAAGCGUUGUUCGGAAUUAUUGGGCGUAAAGAGCUCGUAGGCGGUUUGUCGCGUCUGCCGUGAAAGUCCGGGGCUCAACUCCGGAUCUGCGGUGGGUACGGGCAGACUAGAGUGAUGUAGGGGAGACUGGAAUUCCUGGUGUAGCGGUGAAAUGCGCAGAUAUCAGGAGGAACACCGAUGGCGAAGGCAGGUCUCUGGGCAUUAACUGACGCUGAGGAGCGAAAGCAUGGGGAGCGAACAGG
rnacentral:rRNA from 1 species